rnacentral:rRNA from 1 species
AUUGAACGCUGGCGGCAGGCCUAACACAUGCAAGUCGAACGAGUGGCGGACGGGUGAGUAAUGUCUGGGAAACUGCCCGAUGGAGGGGGAUAACUACUGGAAACGGUAGCUAAUACCGCAUACCAUCGGAUGUGCCCAGAUGGGAUUAGCUAGUAGGUGGGGUAACGGCUCACCUAGGCGACGAUCCCUAGCUGGUCUGAGAGGAUGACCAGCCACACUGGAAUGUGAACACGGGCCAGACUCCUACGGAAGGCAGCGGUGGGGAAUAUUGCACAAUGGGCGCAAGCCUGAUGCGGCAAUGCCGCGGGUAGGAAGAAGUCCUUCGGUUUGUAAAGUACUUUCAGCGAGGAGGCGUUACUCGCAGAAGAAGCACCGGCUAACUCCGUGCCAGCAGCCGCGGUAAUUC